rnacentral:rRNA from 1 species
CCUACGGGGGGCUGCAGUGAGGAAUAUUGGUCAAUGGGCGCGAGCCUGAACCAGCCAAAUCGCGUGAAGGAUGAAGGUAUUAUGUAUUGUAAACUUCUUUUGUCAGGGAAUAAAGUGCACCACGUGUGGUGUUUUGUAUGUACCUGAAGAAUAAGGAUCGGCUAACUCCGUGCCAGCAGCCGCGGUAAUACGGAGGAUCCAAGCGUUAUCCGGAUUUAUUGGGUUUAAAGGGUGCGUAGGCGGACUGUCAAGUCAGCGGUGAAAGUCCAUGGCUCAACCAUGGAAUUGCCGUUGAAACUGUCAGUCUUGAGUGUAGAUGAGGUAGGCGGAAUUCGUAGUGUAGCGGUGAAAUGCUUAGAUAUUACGAAGAACUCCAAUUGCGUAGGCAGCUUACCAGGCUACAACUGACGCUGAGGCACGAAGGUGUGGGGAUCAAACAGGAUUAGAUACCCCGGUAGUC